UACGAAGGGGGCUAGCGUUGCUCGGAAUUACUGGGCGUAAAGCGCACGUAGGCGGCUUUCUAAGUCGGGGGUGAAAUCCUGGAGCUCAACUCCAGAACUGCCUUCGAUACUGGAGAGCUUGAGUCCGGGAGAGGUGAGUGGAACUGCGAGUGUAGAGGUGAAAUUCAUAGAUAUUCGCAAGAACACCAGUGGCGAAGGCGGCUCACUGGCCCGGUACUGACGCUGAGGUGCGAAAGCGUGGGGAGCAAACAGG
rnacentral:rRNA from 1 species